rnacentral:lncRNA from 1 species
UCUGCCCGUGGAGUGAGACUUUGUGCACAUGUUGUGUGUCCUGGUUUUAUCCCGGUCCUGUUUCCUCCUUUGGCUCAGGUGAAGGAGCUCCUGUCUCAGAAGUUGUCAUCGUGGCUACUGUCCUGUUCCCAGCCGACCAAACUCCCGGAUCGCGCCCUCAACCUGCUGCGCUUCACUGCCCCCCAGAGCUCAGCAGAGGCACUGCGGCACAACAAACCUGGACAGGCUGAACAGAGGCUGUCAGUUCAGGAGGUCCCGCCUUUGCAGAACGGUGACUCCAGUCGUUCCCAGCAGCAGCGCCCUCUGCCCUCCAUCUCUCAGAGCGACCCCUCUCUGUCCCAGGACUCUCCCCAGUCGCCUCACUCCUCCUCAGAGUCUGGAGGGGCAACAGGGGGGUCGUCUGGUGGAGCUUCCCCUCCUCACUGCAGCACACCACUCUCUGAAGGUGUGGCAAGUCCGACUGCCUCUGCCCCCACCACAUCCAGCGGCCCGGGGCAGCAAGGCUCAGCGCUCCUCUCCACAAACACCUCCAACCUAUCGCCGAGCCUCAUCCCCUCCACAGUGAUGCCGCUUAGCCAACUCACUGCUGGCAGCAGCACAGCUCAGGGCAUGACCCUCCCCAUCAGCCAGAGCGCCCCCCACAGCCCGCCUCUGCCGCACAGCGCUCCUCUGUCCCGAUCCAUGACGCCUGUGCAGCUCCCACAAGAGGCCGGUCCUGGUGGAAGCCUCCUGCCCUCUCAUAAACCCUGGCUGGUGAAGGGCAUGGAGAUGUCCGCCACAGCCACGCUCCCACUGCCCAGACGACCCGGGGCGGACAACAGGCACAGCGGCUUUCCGGGCAAAGGUA